CGCGCGCCAGCCAAUCAGCGCUCACAGACACGCCCCCCGGCCCCGGCGCGCACGACGACCCAAUGGGCAGCCGCUGUCUGUGACGUCACGCCCCACCUUAUCCUCCCCUCCCCCCCCAUGGCCUGUGGGCGUGGUGGUGCGGGACUGGGGCGGAGCUACCACGGGAGGCACCGUGGAGGCGGCUUGCGUUUGUGCAUCACUCCCUGGUGGGAAUCCGGUUGCGCAUCUCUGCACUUCACCUAGGUGACCUGGUCACUAGACCUUCAGGGGCUGCGUGUUUGGGGGAGACCUGUAGACUGAUUGAAAGUGCCUAGAGGAGAGUCAGAGUUCUCAGAAGAUGGAGGUAUUGCAGGGAGCUGAGCCAGUCAGGCUUGGAGAGACUUGUCCUGCUGACAGAGGUGACAAGGGCAGAAGACCAAAACAGCCCAAAGAAACAACCCUGAGACCCACUGUGAUGAGGACAGCCUGGGAGCCUGUAACUCUUACUGAAUGUUUCUUUAGCUGUAUUGGACCAGUGCUUGCUGGCUUAUUCUUCAAAGACUCUUGGCUAAGACGGUUUGUGUAGCCCGGGUUGUCCUGGAACUCAGGCUGGCGUUGAACUUAGAGAUCCAUCUGCUGCUGCCUCCUAGGUCUGGAAUAAAGGCACGUGCUACUACCA